GACGAACGCUGGCGGCGUGCUUAACACAUGCAAGUCGAACGGAAAGGCCCUGCUUUUGUGGGGUGCUCGAGUGGCGAACGGGUGAGUAACACGUGAGUAACCUGCCCUUGACUUUGGGAUAACUUCAGGAAACUGGGGCUAAUACCGGAUAGGAGCUCCUGCUGCAUGGUGGGGGUUGGAAAGUUUCGGCGGUUGGGGAUGGACUCGCGGCUUAUCAGCUUGUUGGUGGGGUAGUUGCUUACCAAGGCUUUGACGGGUAGCCGGCCUGAGUGGGUGACCGGCGUCAUUGGGACUGAGGGACGGACCAGACUCCUAAGGGAGACAGCAGUGGGGAAUAUUGCACAAUGAGCGGAAGCCUGAGGCAGCAACGCAGCGUGCGGGAUGACGGUCUUCGGGUAGUAAACCGCUUUAGCCUGUGACGAAGCGUGAGUGACGGUAAUGGGUAAAGAAGCACCGGCUAACUACGUG
rnacentral:rRNA from 1 species